rnacentral:miRNA from 1 species
CAGUGCAAUAACGAAAGGGCGU